UACGUAGGGGGCAAGCGUUGUCCGGAUUUAUUGGGCGUAAAGAGCGUGUAGGCGGCCAGAUAGGUCUGUUGUGAAAACUCGAGGCUUAACCUCGAGCUGUCGGCGGAAACCAUCUGGCUAGAGUCCGGAAGAGGAGAAUGGAAUUCCCGGUGUAGCGGUGAAAUGCGCAGAUAUCGGGAAGAACACCCGUGGCGAAGGCGGUUCUCUGGGACGGUACUGACGCUGAGACGCGAAAGCGUGGGGAGCGAACAGG
rnacentral:rRNA from 1 species